CACAGACUAUUUGCUGUUUAGCCAAAGGUCUGUUCAAGCAUAACUAGAUAACAUCAUAGUUUUUUUUUUAAAUGUGUGUUUCAGAGACUGUCCGGUCCAUUUCACCCUUAGCCGCUGUGUCUCAGGGGCAGGACUGGUUACUGUUGAUGAUCAAUGAGUGUUGAGGACAGGCCUUGCUAUUUUGGAGGUUUAUGCAAUGGACAUUUGUGGUAUCAACCAAACACUGCUGAUCAGUGUGGAGGUCAGCGAGGCAGAUGGGAUGUGUCAUCAAGUGAGAUCCUUCAAAUGAACUCUGAGACUGGAGUAGCAUUUGCAAAGAAUUCUUGGACAGUGGUGGUUUACUACAGGCUAGAAAGGGGACAGCAAACCUUCAGAGAGGUAAUAAUCAAUGCCUAUGUGUAGUAACAUGAGUGUCCUCAUGUUUUGUGACAUAAUAGCUCUGUGCCAAAACCUAGUGAGCUGCUUAGGGAGAGCGCAUUUUAAGGCAUUAUGGGUGGCCAAACAUGUUCAGGUGCCUAUUGACUUCCAUAGUGUUUUUUACAUGGUAUGGAACCAACAACUGUUUAGUUACCCACAUUCUUCAAAAUAUUUACUUUUGUAAGCAAGGGGGCUCCUCACUAACUGGCCUGAAGCCUCAGAAUAUACAGCCAGAUUGGAUCUCAACACCUCUGCUGCCAACACAGGUUAGUCCUUUCACACCUCCACAUGAGGCCCCAUCCACACGGAGACAUGUUUAGCUGUAUACGCAUAAAUUUUGUAUCAUAUAGGCGUUUCGUCCACACAGAUGGAGAGUGAAACCGAUAUUUUUUUUAAACCGGGUCCCAGAGUGGAUAAAUAUGAAAACGCCGCCCUUGCGUUUUCAUGUGGACAGUGAAUCCAUAUAUUUUCUGAUACAAUGACAUCAUCAGCCCACAUCUCGCCCCUAGUCAGACACUGCUACGUCACGUAACAGAAAAAAAAAACAUGAACAAACACUGAACAAUUGUAUUUUUAUUAACUAACACUAACACAG
ensembl:lncRNA